AGAGUUUGAUCAUGGCUCAGAGCGAACGUUAGCGGCAGGCUUAACACAUGCAAGUCGAGCGAGAAAGGGGCUUCGGCCCUGAGUACAGCGGCGGACGGGUGCGUAACACGUGGAUAAUCUGCCUUCUAGUGGGGAACAACAGUCCGAAAGGAUUGCUAAUGCCGCAUGUCCACGCCCGGUCCCCGGACUGGGCGGGAAAA
rnacentral:rRNA from 1 species